GCGAAUGUUGUAUGUCUUCACCUUCAGAAAGUUUUGAUUGAGAAGCCAGCUUAGAUCAUAGGAGCCACUGCAUGUACCCUGGGAUGGGGCUGAGAGUCACAAAUGUCUGAUUUUGAAGGGAAGAAAAGGCCAUGUGUCAGAGAGCAAAUCCAUGAGCAAGACUUAGACAGAAAAGUAUGAUAAAUAUUAUAUAUCCUCAAAUUUUUAAAAGAGACUGAAGCCCUUACAGAAAUAUUUGUCAUUUCUCUUUUCACAAGUGUGAUCACGCAUUUGAUUAGAAACCUUCCCAGGUUGAUCC
rnacentral:lncRNA from 1 species